CCAAAACUCUUUUCUCUUACAACCCCACCGCCGACACCUACCCCCACCAUAUCCCCUCCGAUUUCCUCCAUUACACCACUAAAUCACCACCACUUUCUGCCAUCCGACCACCCACGUCAUCGGAUUCACCCACCCAACACCCCUAUAACUUCACCGCAGAUACCACCAUCCACCAUUAAAUCUCCAUUCCAUCCACCCUCCAACCUCCAUUACACCACCAAUUCCGCCGCCAUUUGCUAUCAUCCGACCACACCUCUACUCAGUUUUCUUCCCGAACAAAACCCCUAAACAAAUAUCAUCAUUAACCCGCUGCAAACAGCCGAUUUGGGGCUUACCUACUACCAAAAUUUCAUCAUUUUUCUUGCAAAUUCAUUGACUCAGGUUUCGAUACAUGAAGUUGCUGAAAAAGGAGCAAAAACGAGCUGAAAUGCUGAAACAUUACGUCCUCGAACAAGU